CCAGAGAACUUUCCAGAGAUGGAUUGGUGCCUUCGGGGAACUCUGAGACAGGUGCUGCAUGGCUGUCGUCAGCUCGUGUUGUGAAAUGUUGGGUUAAGUCCCGCAACGAGCGCAACCCUUAUCCUUUGUGCCAGCGGUUAGGCCGGGAACUCAAAGGAGACUGCCAGUGAUAAACUGGAGGAAGGUGGGGAUGACGUCAAGUCAUCAUGGCCCUUACGAGUAGGGCUACACACGUGCUACAAUGGCGCAUACAAAGAGAAGCGACCUCGCGAGAGCAAGCGGACCUCAUAAAGUGCGUCGUAGUCCGGAUUGGAGUCUGCAACUCGACUCCAUGAAGUCGGAAUCGCUAGUAAUCGUGGAUCAGAAUGCCACGGUGAAUACGUUCCCGGGCCUUGUACACACCGCCCGUCACACCAUGGGAGUGGGUUGCAAAAGAAGUAGGUAGCUUAACCUUCGGGAGGGCGCUUACCACUUUGUGAUUCAUGACUGGGGUGAAGUCGUAACAAGGUAAGCGUAGUGCU
rnacentral:rRNA from 1 species